UACGUAGGGUGCGAGCGUUAAUCGGAAUUACUGGGCGUAAAGCGUGCGCAGGCGGUUUUGUAAGCCAGGUGUGAAAUCCCCGGGCUCAACCUGGGAAUGGCAUUUGGGACUGCAAGGCUGGAGUGUGGCAGAGGAGACUGGAAUUCCUGGUGUAGCGGUGAAAUGCGCAGAUAUCAGGAAGAACACCCGUGGCGAAGGCGGCUCUCUGGGACGGUACUGACGCUGAGACGCGAAAGCGUGGGGAGCGAACAGG
rnacentral:rRNA from 1 species